rnacentral:rRNA from 1 species
CACGUAGUUAGCCGGGGCUUCUUAGUCAGGUACCGUCCAGACGGGCCCCGCCCGCCUUUCUUCCCUGCCGAUAGGGCUUUACGCACCGAGGUGCUCCUUCACCCACGCGGCGUCGCUGCAUCAGGGUUCCCCCAUUGUGCAAUAUUCCCCACUGCUGCCUCCCGCAGGAGUCUGGGCCGUGUCUCAGUCCCAGUGUGGCCGUCCGCCCUCUCAGGCCGGCUACCGAUCGUCGCCUUGGUGGGCCGCUGCCCCGCCAACAAGCUAAUCGGACGCGGGCCCAUCGCGCACCGUCCGGGUCGCCCCGGGCUUUCCCCGCAGGGCCAUGCGGCCCCGCGGGAUUAUGCGGUAUUAGCGGCCGUUUCCGGCCGUUGUCCCCUUGUGCGCGGCAGGUUGCCCACGCGUUACUCACCCGUCCGCCACUGGCCGCGCCUUCACUAGGUUUCAGGCGCGGCCCGUUCGACUUGCAUGUGUUAGGCACGCCGCCAGCGUUCGUCCUGAGCCAGGAUCGAAACUCU